UACGUAGGGUGCAAGCGUUAAUCGGAAUUACUGGGCGUAAAGCGUGCGCAGGCGGUUGUGCAAGACAGAUGUGAAAGCCCCGGGCUUAACCUGGGAAUUGCAUUUGUGACUGCACGGCUAGAGUGCGUCAGAGGGGGGUGGAACUCCGCGUGUAGCAGUGAAAUGCGUAGAGAUGCGGAAGAACACCGAUGGCGAAGGCAGCCCCCUGGGAUGACACUGACGCUCAUGCACGAAAGCGUGGGGAGCAAACAGG
rnacentral:misc_RNA from 1 species